GAUGAACGCUGGCGGCGUGCCUAACACAUGCAAGUCGAGCGAUUUACUUCGGUAAGGAGCGGCGGACGGGUGAGUAACGCGUGGGUAACCUGCCCUGUACACACGGAUAACAUAACGAAAGGUAUGCUAAUACGAGAUAAUAUGCUUUUAUCGCAUGGUAGAAGUAUCAAAGAUUUUGGGGUACAGGAUGGACCCGCGUCUGAUGAGCUAGUUGGUAAGGUAACGGCUUACCAAGGCGACGAUCAGUGGCCGAACUGAGAGGGUGAUCGGCCACAUUGGACCUGAGACACGGUCCAAACUCCUACGGGAGGCAGCAGUGGGGAAUAUUGCACAGUGGGCGAAAGCCUGAUGCAGCGACGCCGCGUGAGCGAUGAAGGCCUUCGGGUCGUAAAGCUCUGUCCUCAAGGAAGAUAAUGACGGUACUUGGGGAGGAAGCCCCGGCUAACUACGUGCCAGCCGCCGCCGUAA
rnacentral:rRNA from 1 species